rnacentral:rRNA from 1 species
UACGAAGGGGGCUAGCGUUGCUCGGAAUUACUGGGCGUAAAGCGCACGUAGGCGGCUUUGUAAGUUAGAGGUGAAAGCCCAGGGCUUAACCCUGGAAUUGCCUUUAAGACUGCAUCGCUAGAAUCGUGGAGAGGUGAGUGGAAUUCCGAGUGUAGAGGUGAAAUUCGUAGAUAUUCGGAAGAACACCAGUGGCGAAGGCGACUCACUGGACACGUAUUGACGCUGAGGUGCGAAAGCGUGGGGAGCAAACAGGG